rnacentral:misc_RNA from 1 species
UAAUAAGUGUUUUAUGGCACUUUUUAAAUCCAUAUCCACCUUGUGUGCAAUGUCAGUCGAUCUUCUUCAUGGAGAUCGACCAAACAUCAACCUUUAUUUUGUAACUCUUUGUCUGAAAAAUAUUAUGAAUAAACAAUUCGAAAUA